CUUUUCACGACUGUGUGUGUGUGUGUAUUUGUGGACAUAUGUGGGAGGGAUUGAAAUCCUCAGAAAGAAUGCUCUUAUUCGGAGUGUAAUCUCACACACAGCGGUUGCCUCCGGUUCCACAGGUUUUCAACAGAGUCCCUGGAACCCGACUACAGCACAUUUAUAUAAAAUCUGUAGUUUGUCUGAAUGGAACAACUAACCGUUAAUGCAGUGACGCCAGUCUCUCUUGAACAAGGACAGCCGGUCUGAGCUGCAAUGAUUCAAAGUCCCAGAAAUACAGUGUACAUCCCCCCAGCUGCUCGGGAACUCCUGUUGUGCAUACCCUACGGGCCUCUGGUUCUGCCGACUGACUCAUCCACUCUGGCAGGGCACCCCUGUGCUGUCAGAUGUUGGCGUGGUCCACUGCCCUACAUGACUUGGCUUAAGAGGGACCAGGAAGUGUGUUGAGGGGUGGACAGAGUGGAUGUUACUGACCCCUGUGGUAAUAAAACCCUUUUUGCCGUUUAAAUCCACUUGGAAUUGAAGCUUAGAACAUGAACUUGUUUGAAGUGAAAGUUCGCCCAAAAAUGAAAAUAUGUCAUUUUUUACUCACCUUCCUGUAUGACUUUCUGCGGAACACAAGAGAAAAUAUUUUAAGAACAAUUUUUGUCCAUGUUUUGAAAGUCAAUGGAGUGCAAAAAAGGUCUGGUUAUACUAUAUUUUAAUGGUCCCCUUUAGACAUUCUGUUGACUGUAAGCAACAUUGCACCUACUGUACAUACACUAUAUUGCCAAAAGUUUUGCACAUGAACUUUAAUGACAUCCCAUUCUUAAUCUGUAGGGUUUAAUAUGGAGUUGGUCCACCCUUUGCAGCUAUUACAGCUUCAACUCUUCUGGGAAGGCUUUCCACAAGUGUGUUUAUGGGAAUUUUUGACCAUUCUUCUAGAAGCGCAUUUGUGAGGUCAGGCAGUGAUGUUGGCGAGAAGGCCUGGCUCACAGUCUCCGCUCUAAUUCAUCCCAAAGAUGUUCUAUCGGGGUGAGGUCAGGACUCUGUGCAGGCCAGUCAAGUUCCUCCACACCAAACUCGCUCAUCCAUGUCUUUAUGGACCUUGCUUUGUGCACUGGUGCGCAGUCAUGUUGGAACAGGAAGGAGCCACCUUCAAACUGUUCCCACAAAGUUGGGAGCAUGAAAUUGUCCAGAAUGUCUUGGUAUGCUGAAGCAUUAAGAGUUCCUUUCACUGGAACUAAGGGGCCGAGCCCAACCCCUGAAAAACAACCCCACACCAUAACCCCCCUCCACUAAACUUUACACUUGGCACAAUGCAGUCAGGCAAGUACCGUUCUCCUGGCAACCGCCAAACCCAGACUCGUCCAUCGGAUUGCCUGAUUCGUCACUCCAGAGAACACAUUUCCACUGCUCUAGAGUCCAGUGGCGGCAUGCUUUACACCACUGCAUCCGACGCUUUGCAUUGCACUUGGUGAUGUAAAGCUUGGAUGCAGCUGCUCAGCCAUGGAAACCCAUUCCAUGAAGCUCUCUACGUACUGUUCUUGAGCUAAUCUGAAGGCCACACGAAGUCUGGAGGUCUGU